GAUCAUGGCUCAGGAUGAACGCUAGCUACAGGCUUAACACAUGCAAGUCGAGGGGCAGCAUUGGAGUAGCAAUACUUCAGAUGGCGACCGGCGCACGGGUGAGUAACACGUAUCCAACCUGCCGCUUACUCGGGGAUAGCCUUUCGAAAGAAAGAUUAAUACCCGAUGGUAUAAAGAGUUCGCAUGUUCUCUUUAUUAAAGAAUUUCGGUAAGCGAUGGGGAUGCGUUCCAUUAGAUAGUUGGCGGGGUAACGGCCCACCAAGUCUACGAUGGAUAGGGGUUCUGAGAGGAAGGUCCCCCACAUUGGAACUGAGACACGGUCCAAACUCCUACGGGAGGCAGCAAUGAGGAAUAUUGGUCAAUGGACGAGAGUCUGAACCAGCCAAAGUAGCGUGAAGGAUGACUGCCCUAUGGGUUGUAAACUUCUUUUAUAAGGGAAUAAAGUGAGGGACGUGUCCCUUUUUGUAUGUACCUUAUGAAUAAGGAUCGGCUAACUCCGUGCCAGCCGCGGC
rnacentral:rRNA from 1 species